GACGGAGGAUGCAAGUGUUAUCCGGAAUCACUGGGCGUAAAGCGUCUGUAGGUGGUCAAAUAAGUCAACUGUUAAAUCUUGAGGCUCAACCUCAAAAUCGCAGUCGAAACUAUUCGACUAGAGUAUAGUAGGGGCAGAGGGAAUUUCCGGUGGAGCGGUGAAAUGCGUAGAGAUCGGAAAGAACACCAACGGCGAAAGCACUCUGCUGGGCCGACACUGACACUGAGAGACGAAAGCUAGGGGAGCGAAUGGG
rnacentral:rRNA from 1 species